GACGUAGGGCGCGAGCGUUGUCCGGAUUUAUUGGGCGUAAAGAGCUCGUAGGCGGCUUGUUGCGUCGACUGUGAAAACCCGCGGCUUAACUGCGGGCUUGCAGUUGAUACGGGCAGGCUAGAGUUCGGUAGGGGAGACUGGAAUUCCUGGUGUAGCGGUGAAAUGCGCAGAUAUCAGGAGGAACACCGGUGGCGAAGGCGGGUCUCUGGGCCGAUACUGACGCUGAUGUGCGAAAGCGUGGGGAGCAAACAGG
rnacentral:rRNA from 1 species